rnacentral:rRNA from 1 species
GACGAACCGUGCGAACGUUGUUCGGAAUCACUGGGCUUAAAGGGCGCGUAGGCGGGCCAUCAAGUCCGGGGUGAAAUCCUCAGGCUUAACCGGAGAAUUGCCUUGGAUACUGGUGGUCUUGAGGGAAGUAGGGGUCUGCGGAACUUCCGGUGGAGCGGUGAAAUGUGUUGAUAUCGGAAGGAACGCCGGUGGCGAAAGCGGCGGACUGGGCUUCUUCUGACGCUGAGGCGCGAAAGCUAGGGGAGCAAACGGG